rnacentral:rRNA from 1 species
UACGAAGGGGGCUAGCGUUGUUCGGAUUUACUGGGCGUAAAGCGCACGUAGGCGGAUCGUUAAGUCGGGGGUGAAAUCCUGGAGCUCAACUCCAGAACUGCCUUCGAUACUGGCGAUCUCGAGUCCGGAAGAGGUGAGUGGAACUCCUAGUGUAGAGGUGGAAUUCGUAGAUAUUAGGAAGAACACCGGUGGCGAAGGCGGCCCACUGGAUCGGUACUGACGCUGAGGUGCGAAAGCGUGGGGAGCAAACAGG